rnacentral:lncRNA from 1 species
AUGUUUCGUGGUUUUCACCAUCCCGGAGAACUUCCUCGGGGCCCUGCUCCCUUAGGCCACCCAUCCCAUGUACAGCCACCCGGUCCCAGCUACGGAGGGCCCUUUGGCCCGCCACCCCACGUUCCAAUGCCUGGACACUUACCUCCUGGAUCUUGUCAUCCUUUCUUACCUCCCGGAUCGGGAAGUGAAUACCUCCACAGGCCCAUGAGGGAACAUUAUAUCAAUACUCCACACUGCAGCAGUUACUCCAUUGACCGCAGCACAGUGAUCAGUCUGGGUGGUCAACAGAUUCUCCCACCAGACACACAGCAUCUUCAGAUGCCACAGUGGCCCGCCAAUCCUUUGGAAUCAUGUCAAAGAGACAAGAGUGAGAACUUGACAGCUGGGGAAGAAUUCCUCAGAUGCCUUGCAGCUAAUAAGCCAGUCCCUGACUUCCUCAAAGGAGUCAACCUGUUGGACGCAGGGAAGGCAGUCAAGGCUCCAGGUGUACCAGAAAACCGGGGUUAUGAGAGGCAGAGACUCCGGAGCAAAUCUCGCAGUCCAGCGAAGGAAAGCAGGGGCAGGAGUAAGAGCCGAGCAAAGAGCCAGGUAAGAAGCAAGAGCCGGGCAAGAAGCAAGAGCUGUCCGCGCAGCAGAAGUCGUACCCGAGGGAAAAGCCGGGCAAGAAGCAAAAGCCGACCACGAAGCAGGAGUCGCAGUCGUGGAAAGAGCCAGGUCAGAAGCAAGAGCAAGGCUCGUAGUAGGAGCCGGAGCCGAGGGAAAAGUCGGGUGAGAAGCAAAAGCAGAUCGAGGAGUAGGAGUCGCAGCUAUGGAAAGAGCCGGGGCAGAGUGGACCAUCAUUCCGACCACAGGGACAAAAGGAGCCCCAUUCGGAGCUGUAGCAGCAGGAUCAGUAAUCACUCCUCCGUACACAAUGACCUGCUCGAGGGCUUGAAACGGGUUAUGAACAGCAAGCAACUGGAGGACAGUAUGCCUUCCAUCAAGAAUGCCAUUCUCACAAUACAGGCCAAUAACUUUAGCAGAGAUAUCCAGAGCAGCAGAGCAAUCCAGAGCAACUGUCUUCCAUGUGGACCAGUCUUGGCCAGCAGACAGGAAUUUCUUCAAGCCUCAGAUGGGCCCAAGCCAGUCAGCAGACAGGAGGAGACCGACAGCAAUCUUCUCCCCCACGAGAGAGUGGGCUGUGACUUCUCCUGGCUGCAGGGCACCAGGGAGGUCUCGCCUGUUCAGAAGCUGGAGGAGGUCGAGGAUGAGGAGAACUUCCUCUAUGGGAAUGAGGAUAACCAGUCAAAACAACGCCCUGCCACUCUGCCUUUUGCACCGUCCACCUCCAUUACCCAGCAGAGCGAUGCAGAGAUCUCCCCAGCAGGCCCACCCUACUAUCAAAGCCAGCCUCUGUUCGGGAACCAUGGUGAAGUCCUGGAGUUCAAGAUGCCUCCUCAACCGGUCCAGUCCAGUGUGAGGCCUGAGCAGAGGGUGCAGCCUGUUCCUGAUGUGAAGCCCGCCCCCACUGUGAAGGAAUGUGAGGAGUUUAAGACCAUGUUGAAGAACAUUGGACUGAAUCUGUGCACAUCAGAGAUCAGUAAGAUGAUGGUCAAGCUGCAGCAACAGAAGGAGGGGAAGAUGCCAGAGCAGAAGAGGGAGGAGAAAGUGCCAUCACCAGCACCAGUGCUGCCUCUUCCUCUUGUAAUUGGGGCAUCACAGGAGCCCAGACUGGCCUCACCAGCACUCGGGACAGCACCAAUACGACAAGCAUUGGAGUCAUUACAGUUCAUUAUUAAAGCAACAAGGGAGAAAAGGGCCAAUAGUGAUCCACAUGAUGGCAACCAUUCCCAAAGGAAUUCAGACAAACAGAAGAGCAAAGAUGAGGAGAGUCAGAGGAGAUCGAGACAUGACCAAAUGAAAAGGAAAGAAACUCUUGUGAAGGAACUGGAGGAAUUGCUAAAGCAGGAUGGGUCUACCUUUUUGAUUCCGGUCAUCGGGUUCUACUGUCAGAGGUGUGAGGAGUUCUUCGGAGACCUGACCACUGCUGAGGGCCAUGCAGCAACCCACCGGCGGAAUGAGCCUAGCAUGCAGCAGCAUGGAGACAGACGACCUGGAGAGGACCGAAGACACCCUAGCCAUUACAUCGGGCACCCCCUGGGUCCAGAGUGGAGGGACCAGGGAGACCCAAGAGAUCAGAGGUAUCGCAAACUAGACGAGGGCCCAAAGGGUUACAGGGAGAAGAUCUACGUGAAAGAGGAACGCCCUGGAAGCCCCAGGAUAAAGAUGCCGAUGGUCCGUGGGCACACCCCACCAGGUCUGCAGAAGGCCAGGGGGAGAGAGGAGGGGAGGGUGGAUAAGGGCUCUUGUGCUGCUUCCUCUGGGAAAUAUGGUAGGGUCAAACUGGAGGUGGUGGAGACCAAAGGAAAGCCCAACGUGGAAGUAUGUGACAAGAAGGACAAAGAUAAAGGAGAAAGCAGUUCUAACAGUGAUGACGAGAAAGACAAAUCUCCUAAAGGCAACAAAAAGAAAAAGAAGAAGGAGAAAAAGAAGAAGGAAAAGAAGAAGAAGAAGAAGAAGGAAAAGGGUUAGAAGUAAUAGCUGCUGUACUGCAUGUCCUGGUUUGAUUGUACUGUAUCUCUGGAGGACCUGGCCUUGGGUCAUUGUUUGGCAUCAUUGCAGCGGUUUUCAGAAGUUGGUGCUUUUAAUGUUAAAAAGAAGCAGUAUUCCUCUGAUUCAUUCUCUCCUUUUGGGGUUGUCUUGUUUUUCAACUAACUGUGUUGUAGUGGAUAACAGCACAUUUUCAUUGAAUGCUGUUGGAGGACAGGCCGUUCCAGGGUGCAUAUGCAGCAUUUAUGAUGUCCAGAAUUGUUUUGCUGCCAGCUACUGAUCCUAUUGUUCAGACCUUUAGUUACUGUAGAUGUUUAUUAAAUAACCCUCUUUAUAUUGGGCCAUGUUUGUGUAUAUUUCACCCGGUACAACCUUGAUUUAGUGCUUUGAGUGUUAUCAAAUGUACUUUUUCCAUUUAAAGGUCAACUGCCAUUUGAAGCGUGUGCUGUCUUUCUUCUUAUUGUUAAACCGAUGAGAUGGAAUUAUUCUGUAAUGAAGAAAUUCUUAUACAUUGUCCUCUUAUAAUCUAGGUCUCGGCAAUUGAUGGCGCAAGGCUAUUUGCAAGCGCACAUGAUCUUGCCAAAGUCAUUGGAUCCUAUCAGGAUAGGAACAGUUGACAUGUUUUUGUAAGGUGAUUACUUUUUUUUCUGAUUAUAUACGUUGUUUUUGUCUGCUGUUGCUUACUCUGACUUCCUCUUUCUCACAUAUUAGGCAUUUCCAUUGAUCCAGGUUUAUUUGACAAAAGCAGGGGGAAAAAAUAUUCUGACGUGUAAUAGAAACGGCAGAUAUAGGAGACAUUUUAAAGCUCGAUAACAUUUUUAUCCGUUCAAUAGGGUUCUAUUUUUCUUUUGUUGAACUUUCUUUACUGCAACUAAUGAGGGGAAACUGAUUUUGAAUAAAUGUUGACUGUAAAAUACUUUAAGGUAUGCUGGGCAUGUGAUGUCAUCACAUAACUAUAGGCUGCACUCCUAAAUGCCUACUGCUUGCAAAAUAAGUUUUCAUUUUAAGCUAACAUGGAAUUGUUUUAAGAUGGUCAUACCAUGGAUCAUUUAGCUAUUUGAUUUUGAAUUUUAUGACCCCUUUGGGUAUCAAAAAUAUUUAGUGAUUUGAUCAAAUAUUUUAUUUCACCUCUAUUACUAUAGCGCAUAGAAACACAUUGAAUAAGACAUUAAUAAAUGUCAUAAAAGACAGUAAAAAAAUAGAUCACAUGGAAUAAGGUUUUAAAGUGUCUGUCCUAGAUAUACGAAAGCUCAAGAAAUAGUUUAGUUUAGAAAGUAUUCAUUCCCCUUGACUUAUUCCACAUUUUGUUGUGCCUGAAUUAAACAAAACUAAAAAUUAUCACCCAUCUACACACAAUACCCCAUAAUGACAAAGUGAAAACAUGUUUUUAGAAAUGUGCAAAUUUAUUGAAAAUGAAAUACAGAAAUGUCUCAUUUACAUACACUACCGUUCAAAUGUUUAGGGUCACUUAGAAAUGUCCUUGUUUUUGAAAGAAAAGCACUUUUUUGUCCAUUAAAAUAACAUCAAAUUGAUCUGAAAUACAAUGUAAACAUUGUUCAUGUUGUAAAUGACUAUUGUAGCUGGAUACGGCAGAUUUUUAAUGA